GACGAACGCUGGCGGCGUGCCUAAUACAUGCAAGUAGAACGCACAGUUUAUACCGUAGCUUGCUACACCAUAGACUGUGAGUUGCGAACGGGUGAGUAACGCGUAGGUAACCUGCCUGGUAGCGGGGGAUAACUAUUGGAAACGAUAGCUAAUACCGCAUAAUAUUAAUUAUUGCAUGAUAAUUAAUUGAAAGGUGCAAUUGCACCACUACCAGAUGGACCUGCGUUGUAUUAGCUAGUAGGUGAGGUAACGGCUCACCUAGGCGACGAUAUAUAGCCGACCUGAGAGGGUGAUCGGCCACACUGGGACUGAGACACGGCCCAGACUCCUACGGGAGGCAGCAGUAGGGAAUCUUCGGCAAUGGACGAAAGUCUGACCGAGCAACGCCGCGGGAGUGAAGAAGGUUUUCGGAUCGGAAAGCUCUGUUGUAAGAGAAGAACGGGUGUGAGAGUGGAAAGUUCACACUGUGACGGUAUCUUAACAGAAAGGGACGGCUAACUACGUG
rnacentral:rRNA from 1 species